CUCGCCUUCAGGAAGUGUGGAGAUGCACAUGCGCACUAACAUUUCUUCUGGCCAAUUAUGUGUUCGCCGCAGUAAAACGCAUCCUGGGCAAUGGCAAAUGCGGAGCUCACCAUGUCUGCAGGGAACGUGGUGACAGAGAAUGAUAGAGACCCCGACGAUGGCUCAGAGGUGCCGGUCAUCCUGCGAAUCCAGCCCAACUCACAGGAGAUACAUGAGGACUCUGUAGAGGCAGAAGAUGCUGUUGAGGCAGUAGAACCAUGCCAUGAACAUGGGCCCACUCAGGAGGAGGAAGUUGAGUAUGGAUACCCCAUAACAUGUGGUGAUAGCAAGGCUGUGCUGCUGUUUGAGAAGUUUGUCUGUCCUGGAAUCAAUGUUAAGUGUAUCAAGUACAAUGACCAGGUCAUCAGCCCUAAGCAGUUUGUGCACUUAGCUGGAAAGGCCACCCUGAAGGACUGGAAGAGGGCUAUCCGGCUCGGCGGGGUCAUGCUCCGGAAGAUGAUGGACUCGGGUCAGCUUGACUUCUACCAGCAUGACACAGUUUGCACUAACACCUGUCGCAGCACCAAGUUCGACCUCCUGAUCAACAACACCCGCGUGCCCCCCCAGGGCAGUGUGCUAACAAUCUCCACCUCCCCUCAAGGAAACGGAAGCCAGGUGGCAGCGAUGGUGGAGGAGGAGGAGGAGGGGGAGCAGAGACCGGAGAAGGUGGCUGUGACCUCACUGGAGUCAAACCCCUCUGUGCCUGACAAAGACUUGAAGGAGGACGACAUACCUGAGGAGACACUGAGCUUCUGGAAGGGCAUCGCAGACGUGGGGCUUGUGGGGGAAGUGGUGUCCAACAUCCGCACAGAGCUGCUGGCCGUGCUCAGGGGAGUACAGCUGCGCAGUGGUCAGUCUACACUUCAGGCCCCCGACGCUGCCGUACUGAACAGCCUUGCCCACGUGUUUGGGAUGCUGGACUGCGUGAAGCGGGCUCUGCACGCCCACCGAAGCUGUAUGGAUGACAGUCAGGAGCUGGUCCACAGCACCCUAACCGAGCUGGAGCGGCAGCUGGAAGAGCAGAAGAAACAGGCUCGUGACUGGUGCUUACGGUCUCUGCCCAAUUUCAUCCUUGUGUCCCCGGGCAGCAGCUCCUCCAAGCCUCCGGCACCCAAGCGGCCAAAACUGCAGCGGCUCGCCUCCGCUGCCAUGCUGAGCGCCUCCUCAGUCCUGCAGCCGAGUCUGAUGACCUCCCAGUUUGCCAUACUCUCGCCCAUCUCUGUUGGCUCUGUAGGACAAUCCUUCAAUAUUGCCAGCGUGCCUGUGGCUACAGUGGCUCAGCUGCCUGCAAGUUCACAGCUUGUCACCUGCUGCACAAGCAGCAUACACUCCAAGGCCAACUAUUUCAGCCUCCAGCCAGCAUCCAGCGUGACGCUGCUCCGCACUGCACCUGGGGUACACGCUGUACAGAUGGGGGGCAGUGCAAAUUCCGUAGAGCUGGUGCGUCUGGCCCAGGAGUCGGAGGACGGGGCAGUGGGUGUGGCUGAAGGACAGGCGGGUGAACCAGAUGGAGGGGCCGUGGUGGAGGGAACGAUGCUGAUGCGGGGGGAAGUGGGAGAUGAAGGUUCGGCGCACACUACGGUCAUUGAGAUUGAUCCCGCACCAGGCAACCACACGGUCCAGUUGGUGGGCCUGCAGCUAGCUGGCAAGGAGGGCGGGGUGGUUCUGCGGCGUCACAUGCCCAUGGUGGAAGAGGAUGAGGGUGGGUCCCUGAUUCAGGACGGCAUGGAGGUGGUGGAACACAGUGAGGAGAGGGCCACUGUAUCACUGGAGAACCCGGAACAGCUGCAGGACAUGGAAAUCAUGUCCAAGCUGACUUCGAUUUACUGUGUGAUGUCAACUGACGAGCAAGCUUGGGCUGAAGUAUGAACUCUGCCUCGGGAUGCAGUCACACAGUGUAAGAUGACCCCACCAUCUGUGCCAGCGUUGCUGAAGCUCCAUCACAUGAUCACUCCUGAAUGCAUCUGCAGGUGCGGCGUUGGGCGAUGGUGGGGUGGAGCACCCGCAUAACGUAUACCGACUUCUGCAAUCCCACGGUUUUUGACCACCCACCCUCCGUCCAAGCCACCAGAAACCGUCUAUUGUGGAUCCAGCAAGGCAACCGCUCCGUGGCAGACUACGCAUUGGCGUUCAAAACAUUGGUCGAGCAAGGCAGAUGGAACACCGCAUCCCUCCUGGCAUGUUUUCGGAACAGGCUCCAACCUUGCCUCCAAGCCAAACUGGCCUAUUGUGGAGGGGAGUGGAUGCUGGACUGCUUCAUGGAAACAGCUGGACAACCUAGCCCACAAGAGGACCCUGAGGGGGUGGGUGGUGACACCAACUUCUCCUUCCUGGGAGGAGGACCCUGAGCCAAUGCAGAGUGAACAAAGUCGACUGACCCCGGACGAGAGACAAUACCGCGUCCAAGAGCGCUGGUGCCUGUACUGCGGUGUUCCUGGUCACUAUUUCUCCUCCUGCCCCAUGCAUCCACCACGAGAGACCCUCCUGGAACCUCAGUGGGUGCACGAUUCUCCAGCUGCAGGACAUCCGGGUGCCUGUCGGACUCUCUCCCUCCUGCAGAGGCAGUUCUGGUGGUUCUUCAUAGCUGAUGGCGUCCGAGAGAAUGUGGAAGCCUGUUCCACAUGCUUUCGGUCCAAGACCCCGACAUCGAAACCUGUAGGUCUGCUGGAACCCCUGCCGGUACCCACGUGCCCAUGGUCUCACGUGGCCAUGGAUUUCCUGGUUGACCUUCCCCUGUCCGAAGGGAUCACCCGGACUGCCUGAUUCCUUGUUGCCAGGGGCGCCCCCCUUCUCGGCAUAAGGCGGCUAGGGCCACCCUUAUUUGGGGGGGUACUGUCAUGCCCUCAUCCAGCGGCCAAUCAGCGACACCUGUGGCCAAUCCGAGGAGCACAGCAUAAAAGGGUGCCCUGGAAGCACCUCAUCAAGUAACCUCCAACGAGAAACUGCAGAGCGUUUCUCUCUUGCUUUCUGGUUGUGUCUUUCUGGUUAUAUUCCUUGGAUUGUUUCUUCAACUACGAGUAUUGCCUCUUCCCUUGAACAACGUCUGCCGAUCGACAAACCCUUGAUCAACUUCCGACCAUCCUUGUGAUCAGCCCUUUCAAUAAAACAACGAG